GACUUUAGAUAACCUCGGGCUGAUUGCACAUCCCCGUGACAGUGAACAACAUAUUCUGAUGUCUGCCCUAUCAACUUUUGAUGGUAAUUUCUGCGCCUACCAUGGUGACCACGGGUAACGGGGAAUCAGGGUUUGAUUCCGGAGAGGGAGCCUGAGAAACGGCUACCACAUCCAAAGAAGG